rnacentral:rRNA from 1 species
UUGAUCUCAAAUCAGGUAGGGCUACCCGCUGAACUUAAGCAUAUCAAUAAGCGGAGGAAAAGAAACUAACAAGGAUUCCCCUAGUAACUGCGAGUGAAGCGGGAAGAGCUCAAAUUUAAAAUCUGGUGUGCCUCUGGCCGCUCGAGUUGUAGUCUGGAGAAGCGUCUUCCGUGUUGGACCGUGUAUAAGUCUCUUGGAACAGGGCGUCAUAGAGGGUGAGAAUCCCGUCUUUGACACGGACUGCCAAUGCUUUGUGAUGCGCUCUCAAAGAGUCGAGUUGUUUGGGAAUGCAGCUCAAAAUGGGUGGUAAAUUCCAUCUAAAGCUAAAUAUAGGCGAGAGACCGAUAGCGAACAAGUACCGUGAGGGAA